GGCAGCUUAAAGACGCCUCUCAUCUGGAGAAUGAAUUCACAUGCAUUGCUCAAGUUUUGUCCAGGGGCUCACAGUGUACGUUGGCAGACUUUAGACGCAGAGAGGAGUUGACUGUGACGACGAGGUUUGAGUCCGGCGAAGAACAGUUCCAGAAAGCAGGGACGGAGCAAGCUGAACUGCCGCUCUCGGCAAAGGAUGAUAACGCCGCCCUCAACCCAAAAAUGAAAACGAAAGUGACCCGUUAGCAAAGUGAGGACGAGGGGUGUCGUGGAUAUAACUGAGGACGCAGAUGAUGAGGGAGGUGUCGCGGACGUCGCCCUCUCUAUUCUGCCACCCUAGGCGCGGAUAUAACUGCUGAGGACGCGGGUGGCGAGAGAGCUGUUGCUGACGCCGCCCUCUCUAUUCUGCCGCUCUAGGUGUUGUGUCUUCUAGGGAGGAGGAGGAGGGUAAUGUGUGUGUGUGUGUGUCUGUGUAAAAAGAGCAGGUAGACUGUGACGGGCUAGGAGAUCUCCUCGCCAGUUCUUGGAGUUUUUCCUCAAUAAAAUAGUUAGUUGUCUGUUUUUUAAGUCCAUCGUCUGUGUUUACAUUCCCCCACUGGCAGCCAAAAUCCACCAUAAAGUGUGUAUGCACUGUGACUACUUUUAUAUUGUUGAUUAGCAGCUGGGCAUUUCACUCUGUCUCGUGCUGAAGCCUGUCAGUUUCGACCAAUCGCAACAGGCUGUCAUCAGUCCAAUCAGCGCAGAUUAGCAGGACAUAUUGUCUGUUCAAGUCCACCAUAAUGACUGUACAAAAUUUAGCAUUUUGCAACAGUAGAGCUACACAUAGGUCUAAUAUUAUUAUUGUUGUACCAUAUGUUUGUGAAUUAACAAUAAUAAUAGGCUAAUCCUAUUAAACUUUAUUUUACAUUUACAAAAUCGUGAGAAAAAUUAGAUUAAGCAAAAAAAAUUUAAAAUCAUAAUUGUGAUUCAAUUUUUGCCAGAAUUGUGCAGCCCUAUUGCACAGUGAAUUAAAAAAAUGUGUACGUUAAAACAUAAAUUCGAACUACUGUAUUAAUGUGCAUUUUGAUGUAUCACAUCAGGAAAAAAAAGAUGGAAAUGGCAAAUCUCACAUAAAAAAACCCUCACAAAAUAUUUUAAAUUGUGAUUAAACUGUGAAU